GACGAACGCUGGCGGCGUGCCUAAUACAUGCAAGUAGGACGCAGUUGCGAACGGGUGAGUAACGCGUAGGUAACUACCUAUUAGAGGUGGAUAACUAUUGGAAACGAUAGUUAAUACCGCAUACUAGUAGCUGGACCUGCGUUGUAUUAGCUAGUAGGUUGGGUAAUGGCCUACCUAGGCAACGAUACAUAGCCGAGCUGAGAGGGUGAUCGGCCACACUGGGACUGUGACACGGCCCAGACUCCUACGGGAGGCAGCAGUAGGGAAGCUUCGGCAAUGGAGGGAACCCUGACCGAGCAACGCCGCGUGAGUGAAGAAGGUUUGCGGAUCGUAAAGCUCUGUUGUUAAGGAAGCGGUACCUAAUCAGAAAGCCACGGCUAACUACGUGCCAGCAGCCGCGGUAAUAC
rnacentral:rRNA from 1 species